GUGUCAGCAGCCGCGGUAAUACGUAGGUGGCGAGCGUUGUCCGGAAUUAUUGGGCGUAAAGGGCGCGUAGGCGGGAUAAUUAGUCUGUUGUGAAAGUUCGGGGCUCAACCCCGUGAUGGCAAUGGAAACUGUUAUUCUUGAGUGCAGGAGAGGAAAGUGGAAUUCCCAGUGUAGCGGUGAAAUGCGUAGAUAUUGGGAGGAACACCAGUGGCGAAGGCGACUUUCUGGACUGUGUCUGACGCUGAGGCGCGAAAGCCAGGGGAGUGAACGGGAUUAGAUACCCCGGUAAUCCUGGCCGUAAACGAUGGGUACUAGGUGUAGAGGGUAUCGACCCCUUCUGUGCCGGAGUUAACGCAAUAAGUACCCCGCCUGGGGAGUACGGCCGCAAGGUUGAA
rnacentral:rRNA from 1 species